rnacentral:rRNA from 1 species
GACGAACGCUGGCGGCGUGCUUAACACAUGCAAGUCGAGCGAUGAAGUUCCUUCGGGAAUGAAUUAGCGGCGGACGGGUGAGUAACACGUGGGUAACCUGCCUCAUAGAGGGGAAUAGCCUUCCGAAAGGAAGAUUAAUACCGCAUAAGAUUGUAGUACCGCAUGGUACAGCAAUUAAAGGAGCAAUCCGCUAUGAGAUGGACCCGCGUCGCAUUAGCUAGUUGGUGAGGUAACGGCUCACCAAGGCGACGAGGCGUAGCCGACCUGAGAGGGUGAUCGGCCACAUUGGGACUGAGACACGGCCCAGACUCCUACGGGAGGCAGCAGUGGGGAAUAUUGCACAAUGGGGGAAACCCUGAUGCAGCAACGCCGCGUGAGUGAUGACGGUCUUCGGAUUGUAAAACUCUGUCUUCAGGGACGAUAAUGACGGUACCUGAGGAGGAAGCCACGGCUAACUACGUGCCAGCCGCCGCCGUAA